rnacentral:rRNA from 1 species
UACCAGCACCCCGAGUGGUCGGGACGUUUAUUGGGCCUAAAGCAUCCGUAGCCGGUUCUACAAGUCUUCCGUUAAAUCCACCUGCUUAACAGAUGGGCUGCGGAAGAUACUAUAGAGCUAGGAGGCGGGAGAGGCAAGCGGUACUCGAUGGGUAGGGGUAAAAUCCGUUGAUCCAUUGAAGACCACCAGUGGCGAAGGCGGCUUGCCAGAACGCGCUCGACGGUGAGGGAUGAAAGCUGGGGGAGCAAACCGGAUUAGAUACCCUUGUAGUCC